rnacentral:rRNA from 1 species
AAGAGUAGCCAUAUCACUCUGCAGCUCUCAACUGCCUACCCACUGAUACUAAGCAGGGUUGAGCCUGGUCAGUACCUGGAUGCGAGACCUCCUGGGAAGCUAUGGUUGCUGCUGGAA